CCCCCUACCACUGGGUGAAGUGGUAUUUAACUCCUACAAGCCAGCAACUUCGACCUCCAUUGCUUCCAAUUUCUCACAGUAUGCAAGAUGAGAUGAUGGAUCUUAUAGAUGUGAGCAAUGAGGUACAAGAAAAUCUUGGUAGAAGCUAUAAUAUGCAAGAUGACAUCAAUGAGGAAGAACUUAUGGGAGGCUUCUUUGAUCUGGAGAAUGGAAACAAGGAGCUCAAGAGUGACCUUAA